rnacentral:rRNA from 1 species
UUCGAUUGUGCCAGCAGCCGCGGUAAUACGUAGGUGGCAAGCGUUAUCCGGAAUUAUUGGGCGUAAAGCGCGCGCAGGCGGUUUCUUAAGUCUGAUGUGAAAGCCCUCGGCUUAACCGAGGAGGGUCAUUGGAAACUGGGAGACUUGAGUGCAGAAGAGGAAAGUGGAAUUCCAAGUGUAGCGGUGAAAUGCGUAGAGAUUUGGAGGAACACCAGUGGCGAAGGCGACUUUCUGGUCUGUAACUGACGCUGAGGCGCGAAAGCGUGGGGAGCAAACAGGAUUAGAUACCCUGGUAGUCCACGCCGUAAACGAUGAGUGCUAAGUGUUAGGGGGUUUCCGCCCCUUAGUGCUGCAGCUAACGCAUUAAGCACUCCGCCUGGGGAGUACGGUC